rnacentral:rRNA from 1 species
AUUGAACGCUGGCGGCAGGCCUAACACAUGCAAGUCGAGCGGAGCGGCGGACGGGUGAGUAAGGCCUAGGAAUCUGCAUGAUAGAGGGGGAUGGCGUCAGGAAACGGACGCUGAGCCAACAUCCUAUCAGAUGACACUAGGUGGGAGUAGCUAGUUGGUGUGGUAAGGGCCUACCAAGGCGACGAUCCGUAACUGGUCUGAGAGGAUGAUCAGUCACACUGGAACUGAGACACGGUCCAGACUCCUACGGGAGGCAGCAGUGGGGAAUAUUGCACAAUGGGCGAAAGCCUGAUCCAGCCAUGCCGCGUGUGUGAAGAAGGUCUUCGGAUUGUAAAGCACUUUAAGUUGGGAGGCGUUACCAACAGAAUAAGCAACGGCUAACUCCGUGCCAGCAGCCGCGGUAAUUC